ACACUGCAGAAGAGUCCCACAAUAGGACGAAACGGCUGUCCAGUGU
rnacentral:hammerhead_ribozyme from 1 species